CGCAGUCGUUUCCCCCUCCCUCCCAGCAAAAUCCCCAUUCCCUCCUAACUUAGAACAAAAAAAACCCCAAUCACUUCGCGUUACAGCCCCAUUCUCACCAUUUUCCUUCGACCUCCUCCCAACCCCCUCCAUCGUACGUCGUUUCCCUUCCUCCCAGCCCCUACCAUUGUCGUUCACCUUCCUCCCAUCCCCUGCUUCGUCACAGCCCCCAAGAUCGAUGAAAGCAGAAACCCUAGCGUCGCCGAGCUCCUCUGUCGCGUCUCACCGUGAGCUUCCUGUUACCGCGAGGAAGAAGAGUAGGUGUCGCGCUCCUUAUUACAGAGAUUUUGUUGUGAAUGCGACGUUGAUGUCUCAGGAAGGACUAAAGAUUCAGGUGGGAGCGUCGCUGGCGCGAGGAGGAAGCGGGAACGCUAUCGUGAAUGGGAUAGAGAUCUUGAAGAUAAGUAACUCUUUGAUGGGUUGAUUGUCAUUGAGACAAUCAAAGUGCUGCAGAACGACAUUAAAAGUUACAGGAAGACAAGAUGUGAUGAAGAAAAUAUGUUCCAUACAAAUAUCACAUGAGAUGGGUCUUACCACCUUAGUUAUGUAAAUGUAAUAUUUUGAUGUGUUAUGUACUUUUUGAGGUAUUACAUGUAAUUGAAAAAAUUUUACUCUAUUUUGAUUUGUGUUGUUUAGACUAAAAAUUAAACAUAUCUAUCUUAUAAUGAAACUUUUAUGAUUUAGAUUU